rnacentral:rRNA from 1 species
UGAGGAAUAUUGCACAAUGGGCGAAAGCCUGAUUCAGCAACGCCGCGUGAGGGACGAAGGCCUUCGGGUCGUAAACCUCUUUUCUGGGGGACGAGUAAGGACGGUACUCCAGGAAUAAGUCUCGGCUAACUACGUGCCAGCAGCCGCGGUAAAACGCAGGAGGCGAGCGUUAUCCGGAUUUACUGGGCGUAAAGCGUACGCAGGUGGCUUCGUUAGUCGGACAUGAAAGCUCCUGGCUUAACUGGGAGAGGUUGUUCGAUACUGCGGGGCUUGAGGUUGGGAGAGGGACGUGGAAUUCCCGGUGUAGUGGUGGAAUGCGUAGAUAUCGGGAGGAACACCAGUGGCGCAAGCGGCGUCCUGGCCCACACCUGACGCUGAGGGACGAAAGCGUGGGUAGCAAACAG